UCAUCAUUUUGGUGCUUGAUACGCCACAUGAGGAAGAAAGCCAGUGCGACCAAGCGGAUCAGGACGAGGAGCCUGCAUGGGAGGAACAAUUAGAAGAGCUUGACAAAGAGGAUGGUGUGUGCAACAAAGUGGCAAUGCGGCGGUUAUGAUCUUUGACGGGAAUAAGAUCGCCCACAACAUGUAUGCAUGAAGUGAAAUGAAUUGCUCAUAUCGAAAGAAGAAAUCGAAGGUGAACAGAACAGUUUGGCUUCUGGGAGUAAGAAUGCAAGCAAGAUGAUAAAGACGGCACCUGUAAGGACUGAUUACGGCAGCUGGAAUCCUGAGCUUGCGGGUGAGCGGCCGCCAUGGUUUGGUCAAGAGCUCCCUG